ensembl:lncRNA
GGAGGGAGACCGGGAGGGGGGUAGCUGGAUCCCCGGUCCCCCCUUGGGGGGGGGGCUUGUGUGUAAAUGUGUAAAUAGAAGGAAAACUGAAGAGGCCCCCCAGGGAGAUUCUUCAGGUUGAUUUGUUUAACGGACAAAUGUGGUGAAAUGAAAUGGGCAAUUAUGUCUCUAUUUUUAACACUUUCUUCCUUUCUUUUUAACAAACAAUCAGUUGUUUUUUUUAAAGGACAUGUGAAUGUUUUUUCUAAUGAGAAAAAGCCUCCAUCUUGUAUUAAUUUACUUUUACUGUGCAUAUAAAGUACAUGGGCGCUUCAUAGCUCACCGGUGUGCGACCCUGAAUGAUGUGUAAAUACAUAAUGUUUAACCAAAGCUGUUGUCUCUCAGGGCCAGAUAUAUCUAUUUUUGUACUUUCUAGGAUGUUUUUGAGUGGGCAUUAUGGGUUAAAUGGUUCAUAAGUUGUUUGGCAGAAUGCUUUGGAGGGUGAUGUUGAGUCAAUAUAUCAGAAGGCCUCUACAGAACAGAUCAGUUUUAAAUGAUUUCAUCAUCACAGCACACACUAACAACCACCCAGGCUGGAUAUGGAGCUCUGGGCAAGUUUAUUCAGAUCAUUGAGACUUCAAUCACAAACAUCACGGGAUUCCCUCGGGUGAGAGUAGAGACGGAGUAGAGAUGGAUGCAAUAUAUAGUUCAGCCAAUGACACUUACGGUUGCCCGCUUGCCCGGGGCAAGUAAAAAAAAUGUUUGGGCAAGUUGAGAUUUUUUCUGGUUGCCCGAACGGGCAAGUGGAUUUUGGGUGGAUGUUAAUAUAAAGGCUAUUUAUUCAAAUGUUUUUAGAAACUGCAGAACAACCUUUUGUUCCGCAAAAUCACACAAAAUAGAAGUAUGUCAGCGCGCUGUCUUCUCUUCUCUCGGAAAGCGAGUUAACAGACACUCAUCGCUUCAGUGCGAAUAUAGCCCUGCCUUCUGUCAAUCACUCGCAGUGCGGUCUCUGGCAGUGAUUCGUAGGGGAACACUGUUGUUUUUCUUUGGUCGUCAUGAAAAAACCCAUAAGGGGUAACACUGUCGUUUUUUAUUGGUCGUCAUGAAAAAAAACAUAAGGGGUAACACUGUUGUUUUUUAUUGGUCGUCAUGAAAAAAAACAUAAGGGGUAACACUGUUGUUUUUUAUUGGUCGUCAUGAAAAAUAACAUAAGGGGUAACACUGUUGUUUUUUAUUGGUCGUCAUGAAAAAAAACAUAAGGGGAAACACUGUUGUUUUUUAUUGGUCGUCAUGAAAAAAAACAUAAGGGGUAACACUGUUGUUUUUUAUUGGUCGUCAUGAAAAAAACCAUAAGGGGUAACAGUGUUGUUUUUUAUUGGUCGUCAUGAAAAAAAACAUAAGGGGUAACAGUGUUGUUUUUUAUUGGUCGUCAUGAAAAAAAACAUAAGGGGUAACACUGUUGUUUUUUAUUGGUCGUCAUGAAAAAAAACAUAAGGGGUAACACUGUUGUUUUUUAUUGGUCGUCAUGAAAAAAAACAUAAGGGGUAACACCGUUGUUUUUUAUUGGUCGUCAUGAAAAAAACCAUAAGGGGUAACACUGUUGUUUUUUAUUGGUCGUCAUGAAAAUAAACAUAAGGGGUAACACUGUUGUUUUUUAUUGGUCGUUAUGAAAAUAAACAUAAGGGGUAACACUGUUGUUUUUUAUUGGUCGUCAAUGAAAAAAACAUAAGGGGUGACACUGUCGUUUUUCUUUCGUCGUCAUGAAAAAAAACCAUAAGGGGUAACACUGUUGUUUUUUAUUGGUCGUCAUGAAAAAAAACAUAAGGGGUAACAAUGUUGUUUUUUAUUGGUCGUCAUGAAAAAAAACAUAAGGGGUAACACUGUUAUUUUUUAUUGGUCGUCAUGAAAAAAAACAUAAGGGGGUAACAAUGUUGUUUUUUAUUGGUCGUCAUGAAAAAAAACAUAAGGGGUAACACUGUUGUUUUUUAUUGGUCGUCAUGAAAAAAAACAUAAGGGGGGUAACACUGUUGUCUUUGUCAAAUAAAAUAUAAGGGGUAACACUGUCGUAUUUUAUUGGUCAUCAUGAAAAAAAACAUAUAAAAAAAAUAAAAUAAAUUGUCCUUGUCAAAUAAAAUAUUUUCAUCAGUCAUCACGGCAAAAAAACAUAAGGGGUAACACUGUCGUUUUUUAUCAAAUGAAACGUAAAGGGUAACACUGACAUCGUUUUUUAUCUGUCAUCAUGAAAAACCCAUAAUGGGUAACACUGUCGAAAUGUAUCGAAUAAAAACAUAUGGGGAAUGGUAAUUAAACAGCCUCCACUUAUUCCAACAGUCCAAACCAUAUCAUUCUGUGACAAAAACUCGCAAAUAACAACUUAAGAAGAAACGUCCCCUUUUCUUUUAACAACCAAAAAUGAAGUAUUACCUUUGUGAUUUUUGUCCACAAAGUUGAUUCUGAUCGAAUAAAACCACCAUAAACAGAUUAUCCAGUGUCUGGGCCAAAUUUUGCAACUAAACAUGGUGUUUUCAAUCAAUGAAUAAGAGAAGGUUUCGUAGGGAAUAGGUAAAUUGCCUUCAAUCAGAAAACAUAUUCUUCAGCGCAAUCUAUUGCCAUAUAUUUAUUUGCGAGUGUUUGGCUUGGAUUGGUGCAUUCGAUUAUAUUUGCCCUGAACUUUAGAUAGUGUCAAGUGUCAAAAUUGUAAGAUAUCUACCUUUAUUUGUGUCUCAUAGUAAGACAGCGCUCCCAACUGAUAACGACCAACUGAUAAUUAUUUCAGGUGGAAAUGUUAUAUUCCACUUAUGCUGUGUUCCAUGGCUUUAUUCACUCUAACCAAGUAUUAUCCCCAUUGAAUAUUUCACUUGCACAACAAUCUUUCUUUUGGCACAAAGAUGACAUUAUCACCCUUGCAGUUGUGGAGAUAUACUCUAUUUACUUUGGGUAUGAUCUUUCCUGAAAAUUUUUUUUCCUCAUAUCAAAAAUGGCAUAGAAUAUCGAUAUUUUUCCAGGUAUAGUGUUGAAGUUAGAAAAUCCAGUAUCGUGACUGACAACACUACUAGAAACGCGAUUUGAUUAGAGCUACAAGAAACUUGAAUGUUAAAAUAGACAUAUCGUUGUUACUACCUCUGACAUUUAGUUAUGUACAUUUGCUUAAAUCAUGCAGGUCUACAUAUAACUUGGCGAUAGCUUUUAUAGGUUGCAAUGGUGGACUGAAAUCACUUCAUGGCACGAUGUGACCGCUCGAUAAAUCAGUAAACAAAGAGAAGUUUGUUAUUUUUGUGUGUGGAAGCUAACAUUCAGCUUCAGUCUGAGCUAGGAUGAUUUUUCUGAGCCCCCCCAAAACCAGGCCGCGUGCCUGGCAAAAAGAGUCCCGUUCACGAUUCUGAUUAUAAUUUGGGCAAGUGAACAUUACAUUCGGGCAAGUUAAACCUGACCUGUACUUGCCCGAUGGGCAAGUGCUUUUGAAGUCUUAGUGUCAACCCUAGUAGUUGGAUUAGAGAGAGUAGAGAUAGUUAGAUUAGAGAUAGAGAUAGAGUAGAUAGAUUAGUAGAUAGAUUAGAGAUAGUUUAGAGAUCGACAUGGUGGAUUCUGCUAUUCCUUCUGGUGAUCUCUGACCUCAGGGCAAACAGAUCACUACUCAUAUACUGUGUAUACUAUAUUCUCAAAUAUGUACUCCAUAUUAAAGCUGAAAUGAUGAAGCCUUUACUUGAUGUUUGACUCUUUAACUUUAUCAGACAACAUUCAGCUUCAGUUAUCU